rnacentral:lncRNA from 1 species
CAGGGAGAAACAAAGACAAAAGUUUGACUGGCAUUUUGUAUACAGAACGUUGUUCCUAAAAGAAGCUUCCUUAUUCUUGUAGGCAAACCCUACUGUCCUUUUUGGAUCAGUACCCUGAAGUCUAAUGAAAGACUUUGCACAAAGAGCGAGCUGCAUACAAAGUCACUGUUAAGAUCUUGAAGAGAGAUGGAAACACUUCUCAAAGAAUUGUUGUUCCAGAAGCUGCUACAAAUAUGCAUCUACAAAAAAAAAUAAACAACAGGAGUAAGGAGGCCUGAGAAUAUGA